AAUGAACGCUGGCGGCAGGCCUAACACAUGCAAGUCGAACGCACCUUUCGGGGUGAGUGGCGGACGGGUGAGUAACGCGUGGGAAUAUGCCCUUUGGUACGGAAUAGUCCUGGGAAACUGGGGGUAAUACCGUAUGUGCCCUUCGGGGAAAGAUUUAUCGCCAAAGGAUUAGCCCGCGUUGGAUUAGGUAGUUGGUGGGGUAAUGGCCUACCAAGCCGACGAUCCAUAGCUGGUUUGAGAGGAUGAUCAGCCACACUGGGACUGAGACACGGCCCAGACUCCUACGGGAGGCAGCAGUGGGGGAAUCUUAGACAAUGGGGGAAACCCUGAUCUAGCCAUGCCGCGUGAUCGAUGAAGGCCUUAGGGUUGUAAAGAUCUUUCAGAUGGGAAGAUAAUGACGGUACCAUCAGAAGAAGCCCCGGCUAACUCCGUG
rnacentral:rRNA from 1 species